GAUGAACGCUGGCGGCGUGCUUAACACAUGCAAGUCGAACGGUCGUAGCAAUACGAUAGUGGCGCACGGGUGAGGAACACGUAGCUAACCUGCCCCCAAGUACGGGAUAACUUCCCGAAAGGGAUGCUAAUACCGUAUAAGCUCACGCCGAGUAGGUAGGUGUGAGAAAAGGUUUACUGCUUGGGGAGGGGGCUGCGGCCCAUCAGGUAGUUGGUGAGGUAACGGCUCACCAAGCCGACGACGGGUAGGGGGUCUGAGAGGAUGGCCCCCCACACUGGGACUGAGACACGGCCCAGACUCCUACGGGAGGCAGCAGUGAGGGAUAUUGCGCAAUGGGGGAAACCCUGACGCAGCGACGCCGCGUGGGUGAUGAAGGCCUUCGGGUCGUAAAACCCUUUGCCACUGACGGAAGGACGGUACGGUAGGCGGGAACGUAAAGAACCGUCCGGUCCGGUAA
rnacentral:rRNA from 1 species